ensembl:lncRNA
CAGCUGUCUGCAGCCCCGGGGGACUUCACUGUGUUUACGCGAAUGGUCAUAUGGUAACCUCUUCAGCUUACAGGUGCUGACUCAGCCAUUGAGACAUGUUAUCCAAGGAGCGGAGCUGGGAGGCGCCUGUGAGGACCGUGAGGGCCCACACCUGGGUGUUGCUUAUCUUGGGGGAUUUUCACCUCCUCUGCAAGAAGGGCCGCUGACCACAGGGCUCUGUAAAGUUGCUACCUGCCUUGCCGUAUUUUUCAGAACCCAUCUCCAAAAUGUUGGUACACAACAGGAUACAAAAGCACACACAAAGGGGAAAGCAAGAAGACCCAGCAGACAUGAGUGAAAACAGCUGCCUGCACAAGUUGUCCCCUAACAGGUACAGCCAAGAGUCAGAAGCACAGAGGGAGCUGGGGAAGCGACAUUUCUUACAGAGCCCACUGCUGUCCCUGUGUGAAGUGGCUCAUAUCAGCUCUCGAUUCUAUGCCGGUGUUCUGGAUUUCCUCUUGAGAUGUGCAUUUGUAUCAGCCAUCCUGUCCCCUGUGCCUCUGACGAGCUCCCUUCUGGAUGGCCUGCUGUCAUGCUGAGAUGACCCUUCACUAACAUCUGAGAAGUCCCUUUGCUGUUCUACGGUGUGGAAAACUUGUUUCCUCCAUCUCAUGUCUUCUUCCUUGCUUAAUUCCUUUGUUUAAUGAAACAAAUUAAUUCCUUUGUUAAUGAAACUUCCCAAUAGUUUCCUAAGAAAAGUGUGUAAGUGGUCAACUAUUUGCAACCUAAUAUGUCUGAAAAUUCUACAUAUACUUUUAACAUGUAGUUUGAUUGGGUAGAUGAGUCCAGUGUGGAAAUAUUUUUUCAAAAAUUAGAAGCUAUUGCACUAUUGUCUUGUAGUAUGGUGUGUUGCUUUUGAGAAGUUGUAAGCCAUUUUUUUUUAAUCCUUUGUGUGUUUAUAUCUUUUCUUCUGUUUUUGCACCUCACAACCUUUUAUUUAUUUUUUCUCAUCAAUGCAAUAAACUUUCAUGAUGACAGGG